rnacentral:rRNA from 1 species
AUUGAACGCUGGCGGCAGGCCUAACACAUGCAAGUCGAACGAGGGGCGGACGUGUGAGUAAUGUCUGGGAAACUGCCUGAUGGAGGGGGAUAACUACUGGAAACGGUAGCUAAAACCGCAUACCAUCAGAUGUGCCCAUAUGGGAUUAGCUAGUUGGUGGGGUAAAGGCUCACCAAGGCGACGAUCCCUAGCUGGUCUGAGAGGAUGACCAGCAACACUGGAACUGAGAAACGGUCUAGACUCCUACGUGAGGCAGCAGUGGGGAAUAUUGCACAAUGGGGGCAAGCUUGAUGCAGCCAUGCCGCGUGUAUGAAGAAGGCCUUCGGGUGGUAAAGUACUUUCAGCGGGGAGGCGUUACCCGCAGAAGAAGCACCGGCUAACUCCGUGCCAGCAGCCGCGGUAAUUC